rnacentral:rRNA from 1 species
UACGUAGGGUCCGAGCGUUGUCCGGAAUUAUUGGGCGUAAAGGGCUCGUAGGCGGUUCGUCGCGUCGGGAGUGAAAACUCGGAGCUCAACUCCGAGCCUGCUUCCGAUACGGGCAGACUAGAGGUAGGCAGGGGAGAGCGGAACUCCUGGUGUAGCGGUGGAAUGCGCAGAUAUCAGGAAGAACACCGGUGGCGGAAGGCGGCUCUCUGGGCCUUACCUGACGCUGAGGAGCGAAAGCGUGGGUAGCGAACAGG